UACGUAGGGUGCAAGCGUUAUCCGGAAUUACUGGGCGUAAAGCGAGUGUAGGCGGUUGCCCAAGUCAGGUGUGAAAGCCUUGAGCUCAACUCAAGAAAUGCACUUGGUACUGGGUGGCUAGAGGACCGGAGAGGAUAGUGGAAUUCCCAGUGUAGUGGUGAAAUACGUAGAGAUUGGGAAGAACACCAGUGGCGAAGGCGGCUAUCUGGACGGUUACUGACGCUAAGACUCGAAAGCGUGGGGAGCAAACAGG
rnacentral:rRNA from 1 species